UCUCUUGAAUAUCAAAGGUGAGCCAGUACAGGAUGGACCCGCGUCUGAUUAGCUAGUUGGUAAGGUAACGGCUUACCAAGGCGACGAUCAGUAGCCGACCCGAGAGGGUGAUCGGCCACAUUGGAACGGAGACACGGUCCAAACUCCUACGGGAGGCAGCAGUGGGGAAUAUUGCACAAUGGGCGAAAGCCUGAUGCAGCAACGCCGCGUGAGGGAUGAAGGCCUUCGGGUCGUAAAACUCUGUCCUCAAGGAAG
rnacentral:rRNA from 1 species